rnacentral:tmRNA from 1 species
GGGGCUGACUUGGAUUUCGACAGAUUUCUUGUCGCACAGAUAGCAUGCCAAGCGCUGCUUGUAAAACAGCAACAAAAAUAACUGUAAACAACACAGAUUACGCUCCAGCUUACGCUAAAGCUGCGUGAGUUAAUCUCCUUUUGGAGCUGGACUGAUUAGAAUUUCUAGCGUUUUAAUCACUCCAUAACCUUAAGCUAGACGCUUUUAAAAGGUGGUUCGCCUUUUAAAAUAAGAAAAAGAACUCUUGAAACUACCUCAAGGUUUUAGAAAGUUGGACCAGAGCUAGUUUUAAGGCUAAAAACUAACCAAUUUUCUAAGCAUUGUAGAAGUUUGUGUUUAGGACAAGAUUUUUGGACUGGGGUUCGAUUCCCCACAGCUCCACCA